GGUCAGAACGAACGCUGGCGGCGCGUCUUAAGCAUGCAAGUCGAACGGCAAGAGGUAGCAAUACCUCCUAGAGUGGCGGACUGGUGAGUAACACGUGGGUGACAUACCCUUCAGAUGGGGAUAGCUAUUAGAAAUAGUAGAUAAUACCGAAUACGAGCACAGGGGUUAGAGAUCUGUGAGGAAAGGAGCUAAGGCUCCGCUGAAGGAAUGGCCUGCGGCCCAUUAGCUAGUUGGUGAGGUAAGAGCCCACCAAGGCGAUGAUGGGUAUCCGGCCUUAGAGGGUGAACGGACACAUUGGGACUGAGAUACGGCCCAGACUCCUACGGGAGGCAGCAGCUAAGAAUAUUCCGCAAUGGACGAAAGUCUGACGGAGCGACGCCGCGUGGAUGAAGAAGGCCGGAAGGUUGUAAAAAUCCUUUUGAAACUGAAGAAUAAGCGUUGUAGGGAAUGACAGCGUGGUGACAGUAGGUUUUGAAUAAGCAACGGCUAAUUACGUGCCAGCAGCGGC
rnacentral:rRNA from 1 species